GGACUGUGAGUGGAUUAAGAGAGAAAUGAGGAUAUGGGGGCAAUGAUGGAAAAUGCAAAGAGGCCAGAUCAAGAAUUCCAGGUCUCUGUAAGAUCAGAGAAUGGCAGAGAUUGAAGUUCUAGGCUCAGUUUGCUGAAAGUUGGAAGGUGGGGGAUGGAUAAAGGGAAGUAUAUGUAAUAGAGACUGCUCAGAAGUAGAGUAGUUACUGGUGGUCUGGAAGGCAGGGGAAUGGAAUGGAACAGGAGGAAAGAUUAAUGAAAUGAAGAAGAGAAGUUGUUGAGUUGAAUCAGUAGUGUAUUUUCCAAGAAUGGUGAUGUAUGAGGAUACUUCAAAAAGUUUGUGGAAAAUGGAAUUAAAAGAUAAAUUUAUCUUGGUGCCAAAAUUUUUAAAAUUGGAAAAAUGAGGUAUCUUCACAAACUUUGUAGAAAAUGUGUAUUGUGAAAAACACUAGGUAUAGACUGCAAUUUUUUUUCCCUCCAAAAUAGAUGUCUUCUGGUAUCAUCUUCCACAGACUUUUUGAAGUGCCCUUGUGAGUGUUGCUGAAAAGGAAGACAGUGACCUGGACUCUACUGUAUUCAGUGAGUGAGGAAGAGUGACUGUGUGGUUGGCAGGUGAUCACAACAAUGAAGGCAACAAGGGCACCACACCCUGACCACAUGGCUGCUGACCACUGCACCUGCUUCACAGGGGGCUGGCACCUCAGCAUGGAGAUGAGCAAUGGCGAACACACAGAAGGGCCUGGAUUGUUUUGGCAUAAAGAUUGUCCCAAAGAAGAACAUUUUGUUGGCUCUGAAAGUCACCUAGGAGGAUUUCAUUUCCCUUUGCUAUGAGCUACCAAUGUGACCUCAACCAGAUUACAGAAUCCCUGACAUUUUAACCAUAUGCUCUCACAAGCUGUGUGCAUGGCUCCGCCGCAUCCUUGCUUCUCCUUCAUGGCUCUGCUCAGAGACCUUCAUCAAGAAUCAUCUCCACUCUACUUGCCCUGGUGAACUUUGGAAUCAUGUCAUCAAGUUCCCCUCAAAACCGGUGUGCUAAAUUGAGAACUUGGAAUGAGGUCGUUCAUGGAACCUCAGGGGGUGCAGAUGCCAGACUCAGCAGCAAUAGCAGGGGGUGCACAUUGCCAUGCCCUGCAAGCCCUAGUCCAUUCAGUAAGUGGCUCCAGCCCACUCUGCAUGGCCCUGGCCCCUGCUGUGGGAGGCAGGUGAUCCCAUCCAGCCAGAUCAUCUCUGUUAUCCUCAUGACUCCUGGGGCCACAGCUAGUGCAGGAGUUUUGCGGUAUUGAUGAUACAAGAAACACAUGCCUUUUAAGAAAGGAGGAAGAACUUCAGUUGCACACCAUUUUCCAAUGUGGGGAAUGGAUGAAGUGUUUGAACAGCCUGAGUUUGAAAUACUGGAUCCAAGAUUCCUUACAGAGUGUUUGACUGGCCAGAGGUCCUGACACCUAAGACUCAAAUGGAAACACAGCAUCUACUAUCUAUGGAAGGUUUCUUGUGAAGAUGAAAUAAUACUGGUUAUGACACAGAAACAUGCAAGGUCCUAAAAUUACAUUCAUUAGACAUGUGUCACUUCUUUCAGGUCAACCAAGGAUCAUGAACAAAUCGUGCCUGGGGUGGUGGAGAGAAAGCAAAGGGAGAGGGAGUGCUUUGUGGAUCAGCCUGUUUAUGGCAGAGGUAAAAAAUAUUGUGUUUCAAGCCAAGUUUUGUGCAUUUGUCAAUAAAACCAGGCUUGGAAAGGGCAGAAAUCAGCCCCACUUGUCACAAAGUCCCCCAUGGGUAAGAGUCCAUCCCUAGCAGAGGGGCUUGCAUAUGGUGGUGGUCUUCAUCCUAAUAAUAGUCCUGCUCUGGCCACCUGGAGCUGGGCCUCAGCAGACUCGGUGGUGAGGACUUAAAUACAAGGUAUGGCCCCAGGAUGCUGCAGUAUGCGAGUGAGGAGUGCACAAGGACAGGAGGGAUUUGAUGUAGGAUGCAUUGGUGAGCAGGCUGCUUUUACAGGCUAGUGGGGAAGUCAGAGUUUCCCAGAAAGUGUGUGGAAACUUUCACAUUAGUUUUCUUAGGGACGUGGGGAACUUACAGCUGGGCAGUGCCAGGAAUUUGUAGUUCAAUAGUUUAAUUCUCUCUCUCUUUUUUUUAAUUCUCAGAGUGGUUGGGAACAGUGAUUAUUGUGAGAUCAGCAUCUUUGUAUACAGACAUGCUUCAAACAUAGAGCAAGUGAACUUCAUGAUGCAGCAGCUUCCCUUGCUUAUGGAGAGCCUGGACUGUGUUUAGGCCCUGACAAUGCUCUGCAGGGCUAAGCAAGGCCCUUGCAGCUCAAGGAUGGAGGACAGGAGCAGCAAAAGCAGAAUGUUCCCUUCAGCCAUUAGGACCCUAUGGGGCCUCCAGAUUCUCUCAGGCUUCACCUUGUGCAGUGAAGUAAAAAGAAAAGACUGAAAUGAACUGGGAAGAAGAAAGAGGACUCAUUGGGUGUGAAGACAGUUGUGGAAGGUGGAAUUCUGUUUGGUCUAGCAGGUGAAGAAAGAGGUGCGAUUGAGACUUGAUGUGUCCAGGGCUCCAUGACUUGGGGGCUGCGUGGUCUACUUUUGUAAAGAUGUUGUUGCAACACUGCUUAUACUGCAAGAUACAACAGCACCCCUGAUUGUCAAAUAGGCCACAUCCUAGGUGGGAGGGUAUGCGCUCAACAGGGCACAUGUGGGAAGCUCUUUCCCCAACCUCUCCCACACUUUUAAUAUUUUCCCAAAUUGCUUGAUGUCAACCAUGCUGUAAUUUAAUCUUCUUGAAAUUAGCAUGUUUCACUUUGUUUUCUUUGCUCACUAUUUUGAAGACAGGCUGGUUAAAACCUUCCCACUCACAAAAUCGCUAGUCAAAAUAUUUUAGGAAGGAAGCACAAACAUUCAUUGUUUGCCUUAUUAAAAAUUAACACAGGCAGAUAGAGAAAGACUACAACAUGUGUGCUUGUCUCAGUCCUACUUGUGGUCUGUCCCUGUCCUCAUCUGGCACAUGAGGUCUCAACUCAAUAUUCUAACCCCACAAGGUUGCAGGAAUACAGGAAUGAGACUGAGGUUAAAAUAUCUUCAGGUCACACCAGGGAAGGAAGUGGAGUCAGAGCUGGAGCUGGAGAUGUUUGGGUCAGACUCAUGUUGCCCCUGAAGCACUGUAAUAGGGCAAGAAGGUGUCUGUGUUUCUUGUGCAUAACAUAGUGAGAAAACUUGCCUGCUCUGAACUCCAAGCAGCACUUCCCAAAGAGAGCAGAAACUGUUUUUGCAUUUCUGGAUACUCUGCCCUCCAGAUAUUUUUGAGUCUCUUGCCUAUGAACUCCCUUGGAUUCUUUAAGUCAGCCAGGCAUCCGUGUCUGUGAGUGCUUUUUGAGUCAUUCCCCUGUGCCAGAUGCUCUCUUGGGUGGUGUAACAGAGAGAAUAACUUGCCUCCUGCCCUCUUCAAGGCCGCGGUCUUGUGGGGAUGUGCUCCAUAAGAAUCUUUGGCAGUAGGGGAAGUCCUCUGAUGAGGCCAGUGCCCAGUGUUCUGGGGGUCCAUGGGAGGGGCACCUGGUGGCCUAAAUUAUUCAGACACCUAUGUUUGGGAGCACAGCUGUCAUCCUUAUCUCUAACAGUUUUCCACUCCAGGGACAAAAAACCCUAGGAUGGGGGAAAGCCUGGUGGAAAACAAACCUUCUUUCUCUAGCCAGGGUUGGGCAAGCUGCCUCGGGUCGCUCCUCACUUAAAACAGCACAGUCUCAAAAGUGGGUAACAGCUGAGAGCCGUGAAGUAAAACAUUUUGUAGGGAUAUCAAUCAUGAGAAAAAACAAGUGGUCCUUAUGGUUUCACUGUAACCUACAACUUUUGAUCAGAGCGGCCAUUCUCCAUUUUAUUUUUCAUUAUCUGAAGACAGCAUUUAAAAUAAUAUUUUUUUCAGAAGCAGAGUUAUGGGGAUAAAAGUAAGGGGAAGUGUGGGGUAGUGGAAAGAUUAUCCAUUUGCUGGUUCACUUCUCAAAUGCAUACAACCUCCAAGGCUGGGCUGGGCCAAGCCAAAGCCAGGAACCAGGCACUCCAUCCAGGUCUCCCACUUGGGUUGCAGGUGUCCAAUUACUUAAGCUAUCACGUGCCGCUUUCUAGGGUGUACAUUAGCAGGAAGCUGGAUCAGAGUGGGGCUUGAUCUUAGGCCCUCUGAUAUGUGAAAUAGGCAUCCCAAGUAGCAGUUUAACCCUGGGUUAACCCACUGUGCCACAGUGCCAACCUCAAGGACAACAUUGUUUUUAGGUGCAGUGUUAUGUCAGGCAUCUCAGUAGUUUGACAGACUUUGUAUCACUUAAUCCUCCUAACAGGGCUCUAAUUGGGUUUUAACAUGUUUCCACAUUGCAAAGAACCUGAGACAGAGAGCAAUUUGUUGACUUACUUAAGGUCACACUGCUUACCAACUUCUCAACUGAGGGGUGGAAGAGUGUGCAGGAUCUCAUGGGGCCAAGCGCAGGGUGAAACCUAAGACAAGCCAGAACCCACUGAAAUUGACUGCAAACUGUAUUCCCUACAAACACCAAGGAGGGACUGUGCUGCCAUGGGUUGUAGUUGUUGAGCAAAGAGUAUGAUGCAGUUGUUAUGAGCAUAAUAGCAGGAUCCCUAGAGUGUAGGGAGAGGUGGCAAGAAGAUGUGGAGACUUGAUCCCACAAAGUCUGCUUCCAUCAGAGAGAUACAGACUCGGGCUUGCCCUUCUGCUGGGUCAGCAGGAUGGGGAGUUCAGUGAAACUCAACAGGAUAAGGGGGCUUGGCCAAAUAUUCAGAACAGGGAGUCAAUACCAGGGUACAAACCUGGGGUGUCUGGUCCUUCUGUCUGCCACAGGCCCACUAGAAAUGAAUCUAGCUCACCUGUUCACAGUGAGGAGUCUCUAAACAGACAGUCAUGCCUACCCAGAAAUUCAUUUUAAUCUUUUAGAUGUGAAGCACAACUUGAACUUUCCAUUCUGACGUGGAAGCAGGCUGGGGCAGAUAACAGGUGCCGGGCCCUGAACUGUUGUGAGGCAGAGCUCAGCAUCCCCUUGCAGGCAAUGACCUUGGCUGGCCACUGCUUGAUGGUUGGGAUCCCUUGUGGCACAGUCUCCCACGGCAGGGGCUCUCCCUCUCUCAGACCCUCUGCUUUACCAAAGCCAUGGCCUCAGAGCCCCUCUGGGUUCCUCACGGUGAGCCAGAAAACAGAUUUGCAGCUGGCUGUUUUAUACCCUGUUGAGCUCCCCAACAAGUCUGCUCUACAUCUCUAAUCAAUAGGCUGAGCUGCAGCACCACUUCUCAGCUGUGGCGGACCAUGGGCUAUGAAAGGCUCACUCCAGGACUUGGAGUCUGUCACUCAGGUGUAACCACAUAGACCUAAAAAUCAGGGAAAGACACCUGAGACACAAUGAGAAACAGGGGCUGUGUGCCUGCCUGAACCCCAAGGCUCUAGUUCUCUGCCUGCUCUGCCCUGCCUUUGUGUGGACACCAGGGAGGACCCCACAGACCCUAGUCCAGGGACAUGCUGGACCUCCCGGCAUUGCAGGGAUGUCCCUGUGCCAAGCAGGGAAUGCGCUCUAAGACUGCCUUGGAGAACUGGCCCCUCUGUCAUUGGCUUGCAUUGUCUUCAGAUGAAAUUCCUCUCUCUAGUCGUAGCUUCUCUCCAUGCUCCUCUCUGCAGCAGAGUCCCAAAUACUCGCCCUGUGUGUGUCCUUCAGGCCCCCCACUGCCAUUGCUCACAUUGUCCUGGGCUUGGAAGGCCUACACAUUGCCAUUUCUUGAAAUUGCCCUUCCUUCAGAGAGCAGCCUUCACAAUAAAACUUUCUUCUAUGCCUCCCAGGAGACCAGGAACUUAUUGUCUUUCCUGCUCAUAAAUCUCUGCAAUAAACUUUUAUUAUGCCCCUUCUGAGAGUUGGCUUUUUUUUUCCCUCUAGGAGUCUCUCUCCUUAGAUCAAGAGCUCCUGGAGGGCAGGGGCAACACUGAUUUAUUCUGCGUCCUUCCCAGGGCACUCAUGGUGGUGUCCCCACACAGAAGGACCCAGUAGGUGUCUCAAGGCUGCAAUGAUAACCUACAGUCUGUUCUUCUCAAGCAGCUUCUCAGGCAAGGUCACACAUGCUUGGUGUGAUCUCUCACUGGUUUCAUGAUAGUGAUCCCCCAAAACCUUCUAUUUCCUCAUGUGGAAGGUAGGAUUAUAAUUACUUGAUGACAGAUAAGGGCAGAAUCUAGAUGUCCACCUACUUGAUCCCAGUCCCCAUAUACUCCUCACUUGGACAAAAGAGCAUAGGAAGGACCUAUGUACCAUAGGGGAAAACCCAGGAUACAGUGUGCACUUUUUUUUUUAAGAUUUAUUUAUUUGAAGGAGUUACAGAGAGAGAGAGGUGAGAGAGAGAGAGAGAGAGAGAGAGAGAGAGAGAGAGGUCUUCCCUCCACUGGUUCACUCUCCAAAUGGCCACAAAGGCCAGAGCUGGGCCAAUCCAAAGCCAGGAGCCAGGAGCCUCCUCUGGGUCUCCCUCAUGGGUGCAGGGGCCCAAGGGCUUGGGCUGUCUUCUACUGCUUUCCCAGGCCAUAGCAGACAGCUGGAUCAGAAGUGGAGCAGCUGGGACUCAAAUCAGCACCCAUAUGGGAUGCUGGCACUGCAACACUUGCUAUGCCACAGUGCUGGCCCCAGGAACACAGAAUUUCAUGAGCUUGCUGAUCAACAAGGAAUUCCGCUGGUCCCUCUACUCUGUUUAUAUUGAGCCUCAUUUGUGUGCUUUGCCCUGAUGCUAACCUCAAUACUUUAACCAUCUAUGUAGUAUUCUGCUGUAUGAUUAAACUUGGAUUUAGUCAGUUCAUCACUUAUUAAGAUGGCCCAACCACUGGGGCCAUCUUCUACUGCUUUCCUAGGCUAUAGCAGAGAGCUGGAUUGGAAGUGGAGCAGCCAGGACUCAAAAUGGUGCCUAUAUGGGAUGUCGGCACUGCAAAUGGCAGCUUUACCUACUACACCAGCCCCUUUGGGCUUCUUGCAGGGGUUACACUUCCAGGUGCCUCUGUGGGUCCUACAUAUGGACUGAGCAGGGGAGCUGUCCUCUCUGUCCAAAAUCAACAGUUAGAGGCAGCCUUUAGAGGUUUAUUGUAAAAGGUUUUUUUCUUCAAAGUCUCUUGACUCCCUCUGGUCUUACCAAGACAAGGUGGGAGACUGUCACAGGUUCUACCUUGCUUACUGGAGUCAGGAAACAAGACCCCUCUCUCCCCCACCAAAGGAGGCUUUUCUGAGUCUGGUUUUGUUAAUGCACCAUUCAGUUUCUCCACCAGGUUUCCUUUCCUGUUGGACCAGCCUAUUUCACUAAUUCCAUCUUCCUGAGUGUGCUCUUUUAUCUUCCACACACUUCAGAGUUCCUCCAUGCUAGUGAAAUAUUAUGCAUGCAGCCGUUUUGGGGGAUUCUCCUCUUUGUAAACCCAUUAUUUGAAUAACCUCAUGGCCUAAAUUAGGCAGAAACAGAGUGGAAACAUUGUAUACUGAUGUUGGUAUCAGACUUUUCCUUCUACUUUGGGAACCAUUUUCUUCUGAGCAUCAGUCAUAAGAUAGAGAUGAUCUUACCUACCCCAGAGGGCUGUUGAACAUCAGAUACCAUGGAGUGUGUUCAGAUCCUGCCACAGAGCCAGAGUUUGGCUCAAUGGGUUAAGCUGCCUCCUACAUCAGAGUGCCUGGGAUGGAAUCCUGUUUCAGCUCCCAGUCCAGCUUCCUGCUAAUGUGCCUGGGAGGUAAUUAAUGAUUCAAGGACUUGAGUCCUUCCCAGCUAUGUGGAGACCUGGAUGGAUUCCUAGCUCCUUGAUUUGGCCUGUCCCAGGCUCAGCUCUUGUGGACCUUUGGACAGUGAACCAAUGAAUGGAAAAUCUCAAUUCUCUCUCUCCCUCUCCUUCCCUUUCUCCCCUCAUCUCUCCCACUCCCUCUCUCCCCCUUUCACUGUGCCUUUCAAAUAAAUGAUGGUUUAAAAAUCCUAUCACAGUAAUUGGUUUAAAAUAGGUCUUUGGUACAUGUUGGUACAUUUUUAAUUCUCUCUUGAAGGUUAAUUCAACAAGAUGCUUUCUCCAUUUGACUACCUGAAACAUUUCCUAGGAGGGAAGACUUGGAAUUCAGGCUUGGCCAACACUAAGUUUAUUACCUCAUCACUUUCUGUGAGCAAGAGAAGAACAGUGUCAAGUGCAGUGCAGUUAUUGAGAAUGUGGGUUCUGGAGUCAGUUCUCCAUAGCUGUGUUUCUGAAUCUGCACAGAUGUACAUCCAUGGUCCAGAUGCCAAGCUUCUCCCUCAUCCGCUUGCCUGUGGACAUAAUAUUGCGGUGGUCAUAAUAGUAUUCAGGCUGGUGCCAUGGCUCAAUAGGCUAAUCCUCUGCCUGCAGCACUGGCACCCCAGGUUCUAGUUCUGGUCGGGGUGCCAGAUUCUGUCCUGGUUGCCCCUCUUCCAGGCCAGCUCUCUGCUGUGGCCAGGAGUGCAGUGGAGGAUGGCCCAAGUAUUUGGGCCCUGCACCCACAAGGGAGACAAAGAGAAACACCUGACUCCUGGCUUUGGAUCAGCGUGGUGCACCAGCCACAGCGCACCGGCUGCAACAGCCAUUGGGGGGUGAACCAACGGCAAAAGGAAGACCUUUCUCUCUGUCUCUAUCACUGUCCACUCUGCCUAACAAAAUUUUUUGUUAAAAAUUAAAAAAAGUAGUAUUCAGUCCACAUAACUCUGCAGAUUAAAGAAGAACAUGUGUGUGAAAUGGGGGUAUAGAUUUGAUACUACACAAUAAGUGCUGCAAACUACUUAUAUGUUCAAGAGUCUAGAAAUUACUGACAAGAAUCCAGAUUGGUUUGGAUCAGAUUGACAUAUUAAAUCAAGGUGAUAAUACUUUAUCUGGGGAAAAUAUUAUUAGAGAGAAAAUAAAGGAGUUUCCCUAUUUAAGCUACAUAAAACUUUAAAAUUUAAACACCUAAGAAUAAUUGUGUGCUAAUUACAGAGUUCAACCAACGGUACUAGAACAAAAAAAAUACUAAAAUGGAUAAAGUAUUACAUUGUACAUCAACAGUCAGGAGAAGAGCUGAUCAAGUCACUGUUUCUCAUAGUGUCCAUUUCACUUCAACAAGUUUCCCCUUUGGUGCUCAGUUAGUUGUCGCCAAUCAGGGAGAACAUAUGAUAUUUGUCCCUUUGGGACUGGCUUAAUUCACUUAGCAUGAUGUUUUCCAAAUUCCUCCAUCUUGUUGCAAAUGACCGGGUUUCAUUGUUUUUGACUGCUGUAUAGUAUUCUAUAGAGUACAUGUCCCAUAAUUUCUAUAACUUAAUAUGUUUUCCCUCUUAGUAUUUUUUUUGUUUGUUCUACUUAAUACUUUUGGUUGAAUACUGUAAUUCUUAAGUGCUGAAACUUAACUGAAAAGUGAUUGCUGUUAAAUAUAAGAGUGGGAAUAAGAGAGGGAAGAGAUGUGCAAUUUGGGACAUGCUCAAGCUGACUUACCUCAAACAGUAGAGUUAGAAACAUACCAGGGGAUUCCAAUUCAAUCCCAUCAAGGUGGCAUGUACCAAUGCCAUCUCACUAGUCCCAGUGAUCAAUUUCUGUUCACAAUUGAUCAUAAUGAUAGGACUAAGAACCAAAGGGAUCACAUAAACAAGAAUAGUGUCUGGCAAAUACUAGCUGAUAGAAUAAAAAAGGGAGAGAACGAUCCAACAUGGGAAGUGAGAUACACAGCAGACCCAUAGAAUGGCAGAUGUCCUAAACAGCACUCUGGCCUCAGAAUGAGCCCUUAAGGCAUGCGGACCCAGCUGAAAAGCCCAUGAGAGUAUUUCAGGCAUGGAAAGCCAAGACACUCUGGGGAAAAA